ACACUCCUGCGGGAGGCAGCAGUGGGGAAUUUUGGACAAUGGGCGAAAGCCUGAUCCAGCCAUGCCGCGUGCAGGAUGAAGGCCUUCGGGUUGUAAACUGCUUUUGUACGGAACGAAACGGCCUUUUCUAAUAAAGAGGGCUAAUGACGGUACCGUAAGAAUAAGCACCGGCUAACUACGUGCCAGCAGCCGCGGUAAUACGUAGGGUGCAAGCGUUAAUCGGAAUUACUGGGCGUAAAGCGUGCGCAGGCGGUUAUGUAAGACAGUUGUGAAAUCCCCGGGCUCAACCUGGGAACUGCAUCUGUGACUGCAUAGCUAGAGUACGGUAGAGGGGGAUGGAAUUCCGCGUGUAGCAGUGAAAUGCGUAGAUAUGCGGAGGAACACCGAUGGCGAAGGCAAUCCCCUGGACCUGUACUGACGCUCAUGCACGAAAGCGUGGGGAGCAAACAGGAUUAGAUACCCCAGUAGUCCCAUG
rnacentral:rRNA from 1 species